rnacentral:rRNA from 1 species
AGGGUGAGUCGACCCCUAAGGCGAGGCCGAAAGGCGUAGUCGAUGGGAAACGGGUUAAUAUUCCCGUACUUGGUGUUACUGCGAAGGGGGGACGGAGAAGGCUAUGUUGGCCGGGCGACGGUUGUCCCGGUUUAAGCGUGUAGGUGUGUGUUCCAGGUAAAUCCGGUUCACUUUAACACUGAGGCGUGACGACGAGGCACUACGGUGCUGAAGCAACAAAUGCCCUGCUUCCAGGAAAAGCCUCUAAGCAUCAGGUAACAUCAAAUCGUACCCCAAACCGACACAGGUGGUCAGGUAGAGAAUACCAAGGCGCUUGAGAGAACUCGGGUGAAGGAACUAGGCAAAAUGGUGCCGUAACUUCGGGAGAAGGCACGCUGACACGUAGGUGAAGUGAUUUACUCAUGGAGCUGAAGUCAGUCGAAGAUACCAGCUGGCUGCAACUGUUUAUUAAAAACACAGCACUGUGCAAACACGAAAGUGGACGUAUACGGUGUGACGCCUGCCCGGUGCCGGAAGGUUAAUUGAUGGGGUCAGCGCAAGCGAAGCUCCUGAUCGAAGCCCCGGUAAACGGCGGCCGUAACUAUAACGGUCCUAAGGUAGCGAAAUUCCUUGUCGGGUAAGUUCCGACCUGCACGAAUGGCGUAAUGAUGGCCAGGCUGUCUCCACCCGAGACUCAGUGAAAUUGAACUCGCUGUGAAGAUGCAGUGUACCCGCGGCAAGACGGAAAGACCCCGUGAACCUUUACUAUAGCUUGACACUGAACAUUGAGCCUUGAUGUGUAGGAUAGGUGGGAGGCUUUGAAGUGUGGACGCCAGUCUGCAUGGAGCCGACCUUGAAAUACCACCCUUUAAUGUUUGAUGUUCUAACGUGGACCCGUUACCCGGGUUGCGGACAGUGUCUGGUGGGUAGUUUGACUGGGGCGGUCUCCUCCUAAAGAGUAACGGAGGAGCACGAAGGUUGGCUAAUCCUGGUCGGACAUCAGGAGGUUAGUGCAAUGGCAUAAGCCAGCUUGACUGCGAGCGUGACGGCGCGAGCAGGUGCGAAAGCAGGUCAUAGUGAUCCGGUGGUUCUGAAUGGAAGGGCCAUCGCUCAACGGAUAAAAGGUACUCCGGGGAUAACAGGCUGAUACCGCCCAAGAGUUCAUAUCGACGGCGGUGUUUGGCACCUCGAUGUCGGCUCAUCACAUCCUGGGGCUGAAGUAGGUCCCAAGGGUAUGGCUGUUCGCCAUUUAAAGUGGUACGCGAGCUGGGUUUAGAACGUCGUGAGACAGUUCGGUCCCUAUCUGCCGUGGGCGCUGGAGAACUGAGGGGGGCUGCUCCUAGUACGAGAGGACCGGAGUGGACGCAUCACUGGUGUUCGGGUUGUCAUGCCAAUGGCACUGCCCGGUAGCUAAAUGCGGAAGAGAUAAGUGCUGAAAGCAUCUAAGCACGAAACUUGCCCCGAGAUGAGUUCUCCCUGAGACUUAAAGUCU